UGGGGAAUUUUGCACAAUGGGGGGAACCUUGAUGCAGCGACGCCGCGUGAGGGAUGGAGGCCUUCGGGUUGUGAACCUCUUUCGCUCGUGUGCAAGCCGCUAUUUGGGUAGUGGUGAGUGUAGCGGGUAAAGAAGCGCCGGCUAACUACGUGCCAGCAGCCGCGGUAAUACGUAGGGCGCGAGCGUUGUCCGGAUUUAUUGGGCGUAAAGGGCUUGUAGGCGGUUUGUCGCGCCUGUCGUGUAAUCCUCUGGCUUAACUGGGGGUGUGCGGUGGGUACGGGCAGGCUUGAGUGCGGUAGGGGAGAUUGGAAUUCCUGGUGUAGCGGUGGAAUGCGCAGCUAUCAGGAGGGACACCGGUGGCGGAGGCGGGUCUCUGGGCCGUUACUGACGCUGAGGAGCGAAAGCGUGGGGAGCGAACAGG
rnacentral:rRNA from 1 species